CCUCAUCCGGCCGCCGCUCGUGGAAGAAAAAUCUCCACUGCCUAACUCUCUCUCUCCCUUUGCUAUUUCUUCACCGCAGGGGCCAUCGGCCUUAUCUCCUGGCCACGGCGCUCAUCUUCCCAGCAGUGGAGCUCCCAUGCGCGCUCCUCCUUCUUCAUGGUCGCGUGCCCAGUCUCGAUGUUGGUCCCUACGUGAUGUCUCCGAGUUGGAAUCGCACUGACAAAAGAAUCCCCAAGAGAAGAUGUCCAAAAGUUGGAUGGUGGGGUGCGUGAAGUUCGGAUAGUAUCUGCCAAGCGCUCGACAAAUUGCCUAAAUCGGAAAAUCAUUACUGAUCUCGCGGAUUCGAGUCAGCUAUUGUAACGGUGAGCCGAUUUACUAUUUUUGCUAUUGAUUUUAUGAUUGUGAAAUAAGACGCUUAGUUUGCGUAUUAAGUUUAAGUUAGAAAUACCAGUAAUGCGAGGUGUGCUUCGAGGAGUUUAGUUGCCGAGUAUAUUCGAACUAGUUCUAUUUUACAGAGUGUAGUAUUUCGGUGACGCGUAGGUUAAAUUUAGUAUUUUAUGCAAUUAUCGAUAGAUUUGUCGAUGCUAAUUGUGUUCAGUGCGCGUAAGAUGAAGUCGAUGUCCUGCGCUAGUAGUUAGUAGCAUCUAUGUUUGUAAUCGAUAAUGUUGGAGUAGGAUAUGAUCAACGAUUUUCUUAUCUAGUGAUUGGUGUGAUGGUAUAUUGUAUAAAAUAUGCUUGGUAAAAAUGUAUGUAGUAAUAUGAUUCUGUUAAUAAAUCGUAAAAGAAAGUAGAGCGUGAAUAUAUAUAUAUAUAUAUAUAUAUAUAUAGUUUUGUGAUAUAUGAAAUACCUUUGAAUAGGCUAGAAAAGCAUAAUUAUUAUAAUUAGUCAUAUAUCACUAGUUAGUAUCUGCUUAAUGCUUUGUUAUAAGUGUUUCGUCAUCUUCAACGUAGAUUAAUUGUUUUAUAAUAUUCCUCUAUAUAUUCAUACAUGUGCAUUGUGCAUCCCAUGAGGUACGAUAAUUAAUCGCGUGAUGCGGAAGACGAGCCAAGUCGACCCCAAGCGCGGGCUACUACGCAUGGUAAUGCUGAUGGAAGAACCUCCCUCAUCAAGUGCUAGGACAAGGAUACUCGUCAAGUGGUCAUCGUCUAACAACACUAACCUAGUGUUAUCCAGGCAAGCCCCGGUGCAUGCGACCCCUUCCUUGUGUUUUUAAAUAAUUUUUACACACUUUAAGUCUAGCGAAAUAUGCAUUAGGUUUAUAGGAGUUGCUUGGAAACCUUUUGAUGCAUUGCCUACCUUGAAAUCCAUCCCUUUAUAGAUACUUCUGAUGAAGUAUCAAAAUAUGAUUUACAAAAAUGCUUAGCCUUGCCUAGAGGUAAAUCUUGUGGAUAGAGGUUGUCCUUUGCGUUAAUGCCUAGCUUCUGCCUGCAAGAAUAUUUUCAUUGGGAGCAGUGGUGGGAUCUUACUACAAAGUUCCCUAUAAUACUCUUUUCAUCCUAAGGAACAAAAACAAUCCUAAGGGUGGAAGUACUUAAAUCGAGACUUGGGCUAGGAACAAGUGAUGUUCUACCCAGGUUGAUUAAGGAUUAUAGAGAAUGUAGGCCUGCUGACCGAGGACCUUUUAACUGGUCACAUGCCUCAUCAUGGGUAAGCUUUGCCUCGGGCAGACUAAUACCAGAAUAAGAUAACACGCAAUGGGAGUGGAGAGAUGGUGAGAGUAGCGUGUACCCUCCGUGGCAAGAGGCUGGACGGUGGUGUAUCUGUGCUCUCGGUGGGCAUGAACCAGAUCUGGUCUUAAGAACCCCGGUGGCGAGUUGACAUAUGCAAGGGUUAAGUGCUACAUAUGUCAUGUGAUUGGAGAUCCCCAGCUAGGUAUUAAUCGAUUUAGGAUCACCGUUACUUCUCGGAUAUGAAGACUUGGUCACUGACUUGCAAUUUAAGUCAUGGAUGGAAUCAUAAUGAGCAAAAAUCAUGUUGUAUUGAUUGAAGUUAUGAUGAAAUUAGACUAGAUGCAAACGAGGUCUAUUAAUACUUAAUCUAGCAUUAAAAUGUUGAAAGUAAGGACUCAUUUUAGUAAGCUUUCUGCAAACUAUUAAUGUUGAUUCUUGCUAAAAGCCUUUCCUUGACUCUCAAAUCCAGCAUAUCCUUGAGAGUCUUUUCUUUAGUCGGGUAAGUCUUGUUGAGUACUUGCGUACUUAGGGUUUUACCCAUUGUUGUUGCAGGUUACGAGUCACUUGAUUGUGAUUGGUGUUAAGCGCUGGUGGGCACGGCCUUCUUAUAAGUCUAAGUAACUCUUCUAAACUUCUUAUUGAGGAUGGUCACUUAAGCUAGCAUAUAUUUCAAACUUAUAAACAAUUUAUAACAAUUCAAAGUAAUUUCUUUGAAUCACUUUUGUAAUCACUCCGAUCAUGUACAUAAAACUUGAUGUAACAUGUAAAAUUUGGUAAUAAGAUUUCCGCUGCAAAAUUUGUUGGUGUGUGAUUUGUGUUUACUUAAUCCCGCGGUUCUGGUUGUAAGUGGUUUAUCCGAGGUCCUUGGGGCACUUGGACAGAUCCUGUUAAGUUACCUAGUGCACAUGCAUAGCCGUCUGAGGUCUUUGAGACAAGGACAGGUGCAUGUGGGCCCAAUAACUUGGGAGGUUCUGCCACAUCUGGUAGAGGCAGUUACUAUAAUUUCAACUUAAAAUCUUUCUCCUUUAGAGCCAGUGAGUUCUACAAUACCCCUAGC
rnacentral:lncRNA from 1 species